UUUUUACAAAUUGAAGGUUUGUGGCAACCCUGUAGAACUAGAAUGGGAAGUGGAGCCUGAACAUGUGACUGAAUGGCUGAAAUCUCAUGAUAAAACUUUCAUGGAUGAGAAGUUUCUUCUUAUGGAUGAGCAUAG